rnacentral:sRNA from 1 species
GUCGAUCACGGCUUUGCAUACCAAUGUUGCCGGACCUCCGCGGUAGCAUGGUUGCUGGUUGGCU